rnacentral:rRNA from 1 species
UACGUAGGGGCCUAGCGUUGUCCGGAUUUAUUGGGCGUAAAGAGCGCGCAGGCGGCCAAGUCAGUCGAAUGUGAAAGCCCCCGGCUUAACUGGGGAGGGUCAUUCGAUACUGCUCGGCUCGAAGACAGGAGAGGGAAGCGGAAUUCCCGGUGUAGUGGUGAAAUGCGUAGAGAUGCGGAGGAACACCGAUGGCGAAGGCAGCCCCCUGGGCUAGCACUGACGCUCAGGCACGAAAGCGUGGGGAGCAAACAGG